rfam:Oryza rufipogon genomic scaffold, chr06
AAUAUUUGACGUCGUUGACUUUUUACAACAUGUUUGACCGUUCGUCUUAUUUAAAAAAUUUAAGUAAUUAUUAAUUCUUUUCCUAUCAUUUGAUUCAUUGUUAAAUAUAUUUUUAUGUGGACAUAUAAUUUUACAUAUCUCACAAAAGUUUUUGAAUAAGACGAACGGUCAAACAUGUGCUAAAAAGUCAACAGUGUCAAAUAUU